rnacentral:rRNA from 1 species
CGCGUAGGCGGUUUUUUAAGUCGCAUGUGAAAUCCCCAGGCUUAACCUGGGAGUUGCAUGCGAAACUGGAGGGCUUGAGUGCGGUAGAGGAAAGUGGAAUUCCUAGUGUAGCGGUGGAAUGCGUAGAUAUUAGGAGGAACACCAGUGGCGAAGGCGACUUUCUGGGCCGUAACUGACGCUGAGGCGCGAAAGCGUGGGGAGCAAACA